CAAAGCUCAAGACGUUCGGAUAGACGUUUGGUUUGACGUUCGAUCGGUCGGUCGGUCGGUCGUUCGAACGUUUGAUUUUGGCACGGAGUGCGCGCCACAGAAGAAAGGCAAAUGAGUGAAGUACUUCACCAUAUGCUUGAUGUUAUAGCAUGCAAGACCGUGAAACAAGCACUCAGACGGAUGAUACAUCUGAAGAAACAGAACGACAGAAAAAGAAAGGUCACCAUGUUGGUGUCACUGAUGAGAUUGAUGCUACCAGAACUGGACAAACUGUGUCUCAGGCAAUGCAAUAUCCAAAUGUACAGAGGUCACUUCUCCAGGGUAAAUAAUAAUUUUGUUGUUCGCAAGCUUCACCCCCAUUGUGCCUCUCAAGCAUGUCUGGAGAUAGUGACUGAAGGAAAUUUCUUGACAUGACCAUGAAAUUUGUUGUAAACAUGACAUAGAACAGGAAGCUGAGGAUCAGGUAAUAUGGUAAUGUUUCAUAGGUUUGUGUGGCAUUUAUACCCUGUUAAUUUCCUCACCAAAAGAGACAUACAUGGUUUUACAAGGAGAUCAUUGCAGUUGUGCAUGAUUAAAUUUAUUUAUUUAUGUUUUUGUAGUCUUUAAAUGUGCCUAUGCUCACCUGGUCCAGCCGUGGUACACGGUCCCAGAAUUUGGCGACAGUCAGCCCCUUCAUAGGACACUACAGAGGGAGUUUAACCUGGUUGUCGAGAGAGUCAUUUGCAAGGCAAUGAACUUCGAUCUGUCUGUUACCAGUGUGGGUUGUAUUAGGAUCUUCACUCAGCACCUGCGUAAUGCAAAGCAGUCAGAUGGGUGAGCAAGUUU
rnacentral:lncRNA from 1 species